GAUGGUUCUCAGGUGACACACCCUGGAAUCGGGCUCCCUCCUCUCUGGUUCCGGGGUGCAUCACCUGAGAACCGCC
rfam:Myotis lucifugus cont2.42477, whole genome shotgun sequence.